AAUUUACAUGAAUGAAUAUUAAAGGUACCGUCAAGGAUCUCAAGUCCAUUUUAGAGGGCGGAGUUGACGCCUUGUCUUCAAAUUUACAUGAAUGAACAUUAAAGGUUUAGAAGAGGUCAUCGUUGGGGGCGGAGUCAUGCAUCCCAUCUAAUAUGGCGUUUUGGCCUUUUGUCACUUCAUUUAACAGUUUUUAAGAGUAGUUUCCAUCAUUAUGGAUCUAAUUUUGCAUUUUUGUGUUCCAUUUGUACUGUAUGUACCGUCAAGGAUCUCAAGUCCAUUUUAGAGGGCGGAGUUGACGCCUUGUCUUCAAAUUUACAUGAAUGAACAUUAAAGAGGUCAUCAUGGGGGGUGGAGUCACUUACUGAUUCAGAGAGAGAGGAUAGGGUAAGCAAGUCAAAAGACUCAUACUGAGGAAUAAGGGGAUCAGGAUUGCAGGUAUGGAGGGAAACAGAAAGUUUAGAGAGAGAGAAGCAUGAUCGAACGAGGGUAGUCUCCAUCUGAGCAUCUCUGAGAGAAGGGAGGAGAGACAGGGUGUGACUAAUUCUAGAAAUAGUGCUGGAGAGGACAGAGGAGGUGUAGGAGGAGGGGCCAAUAGGGAAACCUAAAGGAACAAAACCACCUGUGGAGAUAGGAAUUUCUGGAGGUAAAGGGUUAGCUGGAAGGACUAGGUUCGAAGGGAGGGAAAGAAGACAUUUA
rnacentral:lncRNA from 1 species